UGUUCGCCAUUUAAAGUGGUACGCGAGCUGGGUUUAGAACGUCGUGAGACAGUUCGGUCCCUAUCUGCCGUGGGCGCUGGAGAACUGAGGGGGGCUGCUCCUAGUACGAGAGGACCGGAGUGGACGCAUCACUGGUGUUCGGGUUGUCAUGCCAAUGGCACUGCCCGGUAGCUAAAUGCGGAAGAGAUAAGUGCUGAAAGCAUCUAAGCACGAAACUUGCCCCGAGAUGAGUUCUCCCUGACUCCUUGAGAGUCCUGAAGGAACGUUGAAGACGACGACGUUGAUAGGCCGGGUGUGUAAGCGCAGCGAUGCGUUGAGCUAACCGGUACUAAUGAACCGUGAGGCUUAACCUU
rnacentral:rRNA from 1 species